AGCUCCAAUAGCGUAUAUUUAAGUUGUUGCAGUUAAAAAGCUCGUAGUUGGAUUUUGGUUAAGAGGGCGCGGUCGGCCGUUUGGUCUGUACUGCGUUGUCUUGACUUCCUGAUGAGGACAUGCUCUUGGUUAACGCUGAGACAUGGAGUCAUCGUGGUUACUUUGAAAAAAUUAGAGUGUUCAAAGCGGGCUUACGCUUGAAUAUAUUAGCAUGGAAUAACACUAUAGGACUCCUGUCCUAUCUCGUUGGUCUCGGGAUGGGAGUAAUGAUUAAGAGGAACAGUUGGGGGCAUUCGUAUUUCAUUGUCAGAGGUGAAAUUCUUGGAUUUAUGAAAGACGAACUUCUGCGAAAGCAUUUGCCAAGGAUGUUU
rnacentral:rRNA from 1 species